UUUUGCAUAUCAAAAAGCGGAGGAAAAGAAACCAACAGGGAUUGCCUCAGUAACGGCGAGUGAAGCGGCAACAGCUCAAAUUUGAAAUCUGGCCUCUCGGGGUCCGAGUUGUAAUUUGUAGAGGAUGUUUUGGGUACCGCCCCGGUUUAAAUUUCUUGGAACAGAAUGUCAGAGAGGGUGAGAAUCCCGUCUUGGACCGGUGGUAGGGCCUGUGUAAAACUCCUUCGACGAGUCGAGUUGUUUGGGAAUGCAGCUCAAAAUGGGUGGUAAAUUUCAUCUAAAGCUAAAUAUUGGCCAGAGACCGAUAGCGCACAAGUAGAGUGAUCGAAAGAUGAAAAGAACUUUGAAAAGAGAGUUAAACAGUAUGUGAAAUUGUUGAAAGGGAAGCGCUUGCAACCAGACUUGAGCGCGACGGUUCCCCUAGCCUUUUGGCUAGGUUACUCCGUCGUGUCCAGGCCAACAUCGGUUCUGAGGGUCGGUCAAAGGCCCCGGGAAUGUACCUACCCACGGGUAGACUUAUAGACCGGGGUGUCAUGCGGCCUCUCGGGACCGAGGAACGCGCUUCGGCUCGGAUGUUGGCGUAAUGGUUGUCAGCGACCCGUCUUGAAACACGGACCAAAAAAAAAA
rnacentral:rRNA from 1 species